UACGUAGGUGGCAAGCGUUGUCCGGAUUUACUGGGCGUAAAGAGCGCGCAGGCGGUCGAAUAAGUCGAAUGUGAAAGCCCCCGGCUCAACUGGGGAGGGUCAUUCGAUACUGAUCGACUCGAAGGCAGGAGAGGGUAGUGGAAUUCCCGGUGUAGUGGUGAAAUGCGUAGAUAUCGGGAGGAAUACCGAUGGCGAAGGCAGGUCUCUGGGCUGACACUGACGCUCAUGCACGAAAGCGUGGGGAGCAAACAGG
rnacentral:rRNA from 1 species